AAGUGGGGGACCUUCGGGCCUCACGCCAAAAGAUUAGCCCAAGUGGGAUUAGCUAGUUGGUAAGGUAAUGGCUUACCAAGGCAACGAUCCCUAGCUGGUUUGAGAGGAUGAUCAGCCACACUGGGACUGAGACACGGCCCAGACUCCUACGGGAGGCAGCAGUGGGGAAUAUUGCACAAUGGGCGCAAGCCUGAUGCAGCCAUGCCGCGUGUGUGAAGAAGGCCUUCGGGUUGUAAAGCACUUUCAGUAAGGAGGAAAGGUUAAGUUUUAAUAGAGCUUAGCUGUGACGUUACUUACAGAAGAAGCACCGGCUAACUCCGUGCCAGCAGCCGCGGUAAUACGGAGGGUGCGAGCGUUAAUCGGAAUUACUGGGCGUAAAGCGUACGCAGGCGGUUUGUUAAGCGAGAUGUGAAAGCCCCGGGCUCAACCUGGGAACUGCAUUUCGAACUGGCAAACUAGAGUGUGAUAGAGGGUGGUAGAAUUUCAGGUGUAGCGGUGAAAUGCGUAGAGAUCUGAAGGAAUACCGAUG
rnacentral:rRNA from 1 species